GUGCACACAGGUCAAAAGCUGUAUGAAGAAAGUCUGUCAACUUCCCUUCAGGCCUGAGUCUCAGAUGCAGAGUACUUUUUGAACAGGUCCACCAACUUGAAGAGAAUUGAUCUUCCUCCCAAGCUCUAUGAAACGGUGUCUCAGCUAUCAGGGGUACCUUUUCACAGACAAUUAAAAGACCAAAGAGAGGAGCAGGAGUGAGAGGGAAGACACUGGGUGUUAAUUAGAUUUUUUUUUUACAAGUAAAUGAACCUGUCACGCAAAGGGAGUGUCUGAGAUUUGUUGUC
rnacentral:lncRNA from 1 species